CCGGCGCACGGUGGGUAACACGUAUCCAACCUGCCGUCUACUCUUGGACAGCCUUCUGAAAGGAAGAUUAAUACAAGAUGGCAUCAUGAGUUCACAUGUUCACAUGAUUAAAGGUAUUCCGGUAGACGAUGGGGAUGCGUUCCAUUAGAUAGUAGGCGGGGUAACGGCCCACCUAGUCUUCGAUGGAUAGGGGUUCUGAGAGGAAGGUCCCCCACAUUGGAACUGAGACACGGUCCAA
rnacentral:rRNA from 1 species